rnacentral:rRNA from 1 species
GACGAACGCUGGCGGCGUGCCUAAUACAUGCAAGUCGAACGCAUUUUCUUUCACCGUAGCUUGCUACACCGAAAGAAAAUGAGUGACGAACGGGUGAGUAACACGUGGGUAACCUGCCCAUCAGCGGGGGAUAACACUUGGAAACAGGUGCUAAUACCGCAUAAUUCCAUUUACCGCAUGGUAGAUGGGUGAAAGGCGCUUUUGCGUCACUGUUGGAUGGACCCGCGGUGCAUUAGCUAGUUGGUGGGGUAACGGCCUACCAAGGCUGCGAUGCAUAGCCGACCUGAGAGGGUGAUCGGCCACACUGGGACUGAGACACGGCCCAGACUCCUACGGGAGGCAGCAGUAGGGAAUCUUCGGCAAUGGACGCAAGUCUGACCGAGCAACACCGCGUGAGUGAAGAAGGUUUUCGGAUCGUAAAACUCUGUUGUUAGAGAAGAACAAGGAUGAGAGUGGAAAGUUCAUCCCUUGACGGUAUCUAACCAGAAAGCCACGGCUAACUACGUG